rnacentral:lncRNA from 1 species
ACAUGACCCAGGGAGAACGGCUAGCAUAUCCAAUGUAUAUAAUCAAAGAACUCCUAACAAGGAAUCAGGGCAAGAAACCUCAAUCUGUAUGUCAUAUAUGACAUUGCAUGUGUACUUUCAUCACACAUGCAUAAAAAAGCAGAAGCAAUGCAACAAGGCGUAUCUCUGGCUGUUCCAGCAUUCAUGUUUUUUGGUCAUAAAUUACAGUGUCAGGUAAUGAUUAACGCAGGUUAUGGGCACAAAUUACUUUUGUCUAAUUUAUUUUUGUUAUUAGUCUUUUGAUACUUAAACAUAAAGGGUUAUACAUAAAACAAUUAUGUUUGAGUUCAGUGUGCUGUAAGAAAGUGUCUUCAUAGGUUCUGUACAGUACGAGAAGAUUAAAAGGCUUUGGGCUAACAGAUGGAGAAGGUAUGGAGAGGUUAUGGUCCUUCCUUAGAAGAUUUGCUCGUAUCACAAAGAGAUGAGUCCAUCCCACCGGCUUGACCUCUUGACUGAAGCACUUCUUUAUUAUGGGAGGAGAAAAACAGCGGAUAUAGAAGUGCAGCUCCAUCACAGAUGGGAAAAAGCAGAGAAGGUCACUAAUCUAGCUAAAGAGGAGUUAGCUGCUGUCUUAAAAGAGGCACCAGGUAAACCUUUAAUAUUGUACUUUUAUUUAGUUAAGUGUUACACGAAUUGACUAUUCUGUUAGUCAAGAUUCUCAGUCGUCAAAGUUUUCUUAACAAGAAGGCAAGAAGGACAUCCAUGACUGACCUUCAAAAUGACUAAUACAUUCUUUUUAGCGAGUGUUUCAGAGCACAGUGUACAGAGAUGGAUGGAAACGGAGAACGAAGUAGCUAGAUUGACAGUUUUGAAAACCCAAAAUAGCAGGUAUCGUGUGGUGUGUGUGUGUGUGUGUGUGUGUGUGUGUGUGUGUGUGUGUGUGUGUGUGUGUGUGUGUGUGUGUGUGUGUGUGUGUGUGUGUGUGUGUGUGUGAUCUUGUUCAUUAUUUAACCAUAAUAUCUUGACCUUUGUUCUCUAGACAGUGUUCCCAAAUGGAAGAGGGUGUAUGUGACAACGCUGAUUGAGCUCCAGCACCUCAAGUAAGUAAGUGUACUUUGAAAAUUGCAUCAAUCUAAAUGAAUGCAAGAUUACUUCACUGUAUUUCAUGUUAAAAAAAUGUGACCCCAACAAUAAAUAUGUAAGCAUCUU